rnacentral:ncRNA from 1 species
GGUCAAAUUAUUAAGUGCAGAUGGCGGAUGCCUUGGCACCAGAAACCGAUGAAGGACGUAUGAGGCUGCGAUAAGCCUCGGGGAGCUGCCAACAGAGCUGUGAUCCGAGGAUUUCCGAAUGAGGAAACUCAGCGCGAGUAAUGUCGCGUUAUUUCUCCCAGAACACAUAUGGGAGAUAAAGGGAACGUGGGGAAGUGAAACAUCUCAGUACCCACAGGAAGAGAAAACAAACGUGAUUCCGUUAGUAGUGGCGAGCGAAAGCGGAUCAGGCUAAACCAUUAAUGUGCCAAGCCGGCAGGUUUUGCAUUAAUGGUGUCGAGGGAUCGACUCGAAUUAACUGCCGUUAAUUCAACAAGUCAGAAAUUAAUGAAGUAGGUGAACGACGUGGGAAAGUCGGGCGUAGAAGGUGAGACCCCUGUAACCGAAACUUCAUUAACUUGUAGUUGAUAUCCCAAGUAAUACCGGACUCGUGAAAUCCGGUAUGAAUCUGGCGGGACCACCCGCUAAGCCUAAAUAUUCUCUGGUGACCGAUAGUGAACAAGUACCGUGAGGGAAAGGUGAAAAGAACCCCGCAAGGGGAGUGAAAUAGAAUCUGAAACCGUCUGCAUACAAGCCGUUGGAGCUACAUUAAGUAGUGACAGCGUGCCUUUUGAAGAAUGAGUCUACGAGUUAGUGUCAUGUGGCAAGGUUAACCCGUCGAGGGGAAGCCGUAGCGAAAGCGAGUCUGAAUAGGGCGCCAUAGUCGCAUGAUCUAAACCCGAAGCGAGGUGAUCUAGCCAUGGUCAGGUUGAAGCGUGGGUAAGACUGCGUGGAGGACCGAACCCACAAACGUUGAAAAGUUUGGGGAUGAACUGUGGUUAGGGGUGAAAGGCCAAUCAAACUUCGUGAUAGCUGGUUCUCUCCGAAAUGCAUUUAGGUGCAGCGUUACGUGUUUCUUACUGGAGGUAGAGCUACUGGAUGGCCGAGGGGACCUACAAGUUUACCAACGUCAGCCAAACUCCGAAUGCCAGUAAGUGAGAACGUAGCAGUGAGACAGUGGGGGAUAAGCUUCAUUGUCGAGAGGGAAACAACCCAGAACAGCAACUAAGGUCCCAAAGCGUGUGCUAAGUGGAAAAGGAUGUGAAGUCGCAUAGACAACCAGGAUGUUGGCUUAGAAGCAGCCACCAUUAAAAGAGUGCGUAAUAGCUCACUGGUCAAGUGAUUUCGCGCCGACAAUGUAACGGGGCUCAAGCACGCCACCGACGUUCUGUCAUUCACACAUCAUCCAGGUCGCAAGAUCCAGGAGUGUGGAUGGGUAGGAGAGCGUCGUGCAACUAGUGAAGCGGUGGAGGAAUCCAACCGUGGAAGUUGCACGAGUGAGAAUGUAGACAUGAGUAGCGAAAGAUGGGUGAGAAACCCGUCCGCCGAAUGACCAAGGGUUCCUGGGCCAGGCUAAUCCGCCCAGGGUAAGUCGGGACCUAAGACGAGGCCGUCAGGCGUAGUCGAUGGACAACUGGUUGAUAUUCCAGUACCCGCUAAGAGCGCCCAGAACGAGCCUGCUAAUGCUAAGUGCCUGAAGUCUUCUUGGGGUAAAACCUAAAGGGGGCGGAGCGCGCGACCCAAGGCAGUAGUAGUUCAGCAAUGGUGUGACACAGGAAGGUAGUUCAGCCCAGGCGAUGGUUGUCCUGGGGUAAGAGUGUAGGAAGUAGCGUAGGUAAAUCCGCGCUACACAUUUCUGAGACUCGAUGCCGAGCCGUAUGGCGAAGUGAAUGAUCCUAUGCUGUCAAGAAAAACAUCUAGCGAGCUCAACAGCGGCCCGUACCCGAAACCGACACAGGUGGUCAGGUAGAGAAUACCAAGGCGAUCGAGAGAAUCGUGGUGAAGGAACUCGGCAAAUUACCCCCGUAACUUCGGGAUAAGGGGGGCCAAAUUACGUGUAGGGAUUUACUCCCGAAGCGUGAGUUGGCCGCAGAGACUAGGCUCAAGCGACUGUUUACCAAAAACACAGGUCCGUGCAAAUUCGUAAGAAGACGUAUACGGACUGACGCCUGCCCGGUGCUGGAAGGUUAAGGGGACUGGUUAGCCGCAAGGCGAAGCUGAGAACUUAAGCCCCAGUAAACGGCGGUGGUAACUAUAACCAUCCUAAGGUAGCGAAAUUCCUUGUCGGGUAAGUUCCGACCUGCACGAAUGGCGUAACGACUUGAGC